CCACCACCAAAGCAUUCUCUGGUGUUGAAGGCCCUGCAAAGCAGCAUCGCGGUGGCGGAGCGUCGUUUGCGACGCCCAACACACAAAACAAGCGGUGAGUGCUUUGGGGUGGGGUGACUGCGUACCUUUUGUAUAAUGGGUCAGCGACUUAUAUUCUGUAGCAAGGUUAACCGAAUAGGGGAGCCGGAGGGAAACCGAGUCUUAAUUGGGCGUUAAGUUGCAGGGUAUAGACCCGAAACCCGGUGAUCUAGCCAUGGGCAGGUUGAAGGUUGGGUAACACUAACUGGAGGACCGAACCGACUAAUGUUGAAAAAUUAGCGGAUGACCUGUGGCUGGGGGUGAAAGGCCAAUCAAACCGGGAGAUAGCUGGUUCUCCCCGAAAGCUAUUUAGGUAGCGCCUCGUGAAUUCAUCUCCGGGGGUAGAGCACUGUUUCGGCUAGGGGGCCAUCCCGGCUUACCAACCCGAUGCAAACUGCGAAUACCGGAGAAUGUUAUCACGGGAGACACACGGCGGGUGCUAACGUCCGUCGUGAAGAGGGAAACAACCCAGACCGCCAGCUAAGGUCCCAAAGUCAUGGUUAAGUGGGAAACGAUGUGGGAAGGCCCAGACAGCCAGGAUGUUGGCUUAGAAGCAGCCAUCAUUUAAAGAAAGCGUAAUAGCUCACUGGUCGAGUCGGCCUGCGCGGAAGAUGUAACGGGGCUAAACCAUGCACCGAAGCUGCGGCAGCGAACGUAUCACUUAAAGCGAUUCAGCGGGUUACGAUUAACGGAGCGAAGCGACGUCAAAGCGUAUACAAAGUCGAGUCGGUUUAAGGAUACGUUCGUUGGGUAGGGGAGCGUUCUGUAAGCCUGUGAAGGUGG
rnacentral:rRNA from 1 species